rnacentral:rRNA from 1 species
UACGAAGGGGGCUAGCGUUGCUCGGAAUCACUGGGCGUAAAGCGCACGUAGGCGGAUUGUUAAGUCAGGGGUGAAAUCCUGGAGCUCAACUCCAGAACUGCCUUUGAUACUGGCGAUCUUGAGUCCGGGAGAGGUGAGUGGAACUCCGAGUGUAGAGGUGAAAUUCGUAGAUAUUCGGAAGAACACCAGUGGCGAAGGCGGCUCACUGGCCCGGUACUGACGCUGAGGCACGAAAGCUAGGGGAGCAAACAGG